AGCGAAUCUACAAAACCGGUCUCAGUUCGGAUCGCAGUCUGCAACUCGACUGCGUGAAGCUGGAAUCGCUAGUAAUCGCGCAUCAGCCAUGGCGCGGUGAAUACGUUCCCGGGCCUUGUACACACCGCCCGUCAAGCCAUGGAAGUCUGGGGGACCUGAAGACGGUAACCGCAAGGAGCCGUUAAGGGUAAAACAGGUAACUAGGGCUAAGUCGUAACAAGGUACC
rnacentral:rRNA from 1 species